GAACUGAAGAGUUUGAUCAUGGCUCAGAUUGAACGCUGGCGGCAGGCCUAACACAUGCAAGUCGAGCGGAUGAAGGGAGCUUGCUCCUGGAUUCAGCGGCGGACGGGUGAGUAAUGCCUAGGAAUCUGCCUGGUAGUGGGGGAUAACGUCCGGAAACGGGCGCUAAUACCGCAUACGUCCUGAGGGAGAAAGUGGGGGAUCUUCGGACCUCACGCUAUCAGAUGAGCCUAGGUCGGAUUAGCUAGUUGGUGGGGUAAAGGCCUAC
rnacentral:rRNA from 1 species